rnacentral:rRNA from 1 species
GACGAACGCUGGCGGCGUGCUUAACACAUGCAAGUCGAACGGAAAGGCCCUGCUUUUGUGGGGUGCUCGAGUGGCGAACGGGUGAGUAACACGUGAGUAACCUGCCCUUGACUUUGGGAUAACUUCAGGAAACUGGGGCUAAUACCGGAUAGGAGCUCCUGCUGCAUGGUGGGGGUUGGAAAGUUUCGGCGGUUGGGGAUGGACUCGCGGCUUAUCAGCUUGUUGGUGGGGUAGUGGCUUACCAAGGCUUUGACGGGUAGCCGGCCUGAGAGGGUGACCGGCCACAGUGGGACUGGGAGACGGCCCAGACGCCUACGGGAGGCAGCAGUGGGGAAUAUUGCACAAUGGGCGGAAGCCUGAUGCAGCAACGCCGCGUGCGGGAUGACGGCCUUCGGGUUGUAAACCGCUUUCGCCUGUGACGAAGCGUGAGUGACGGUAAUGGGUAAAGAAGCACCGGCUAACUACGU